GAUGUUUGUCUGUGAUCAAACAUGAAGAUGUUUGUGGUGUUUGUGAUCCUCCUGCACGCUUUCCAGCACGUUUUUGCUGUGGUCGUGGAGGUGAAUGAAGGUGCACUUUCCGUCUUGCUGCCUUGCCAGUACACAGGUGUCAUGCCUGAGGACCCUAUGUUGAUGUGGACUCGCAGUGAUAUUGAUCCAAAAUUUGUCCAUGUGCAAGAAGAAGAAGGUCCAAAUCUUGAAGAGCGAAACCAGCGUUACAGUGGACGUACAUCAGUGAGGCCUGAUGGUCUGGAAAUGAAAGACUUCAGCCUCACUUUGACAAAACCCAAACUGACUGAUAGUGGCAACUACACCUGCUCCAUCAGUAAUGGAAGGAAUGAACGAAAACUGACAGACGUACAGCUGCAUGUCAAAGACCAGCAGGUGGAGGUGAAGGUGGAGGAAGGGUCAGACUCUGUCAUCCUGCCCUGCAAAACAACACCUGACCUGCCUGAGGACACCACAGUGGAGUGGACUCGCUCUGACCGAGAACUCAUGAUGAUCCAUGUGUAUCCAAACAGAAGUGACCACCUUAAGAACCAGGACGACCUUUACUGUGGUCGCACGAAGAUGAACGAAGACCUGCUGAGAACUGGAGACCUCAGUCUGACCCUGAAAUACCCCACAGAGAGAGACAGUGGAGGAUACAUCUGCACCAUCUACAGGGACAAAGACAUCCUGAGACAGAAAGUAGUGCUGCAGGUCAAAGAUCAAUUUCCAGCUUGGGCAGCAGCUGUCGUGGUCCUCCUGGUUCUCCUUCUUCUCCUGAUUCUUGUUGUUGUUUCUGGAGGUCUUUUAUUUCAUUUCCGGCACUAUUUCAUGCCAGAUUACAAGGUGGAGGUGGAUUCAGGGGUGGACUCUGUCCUGCUGCCCUGCAAAACCACAGUUCGCCUGACUGAAGACACCAAAGUUGAGUGGACAAAUAUUAGUGGGAAGGUCCACGUGUACCAAAACGGCUCUGACCGGCCUGAAGAACAGAACAGUUGUUAUCGAGACCGCACGAAAAUGAAGAAAAAUCUGCUGAAACCUGGAGACCUCACUCUGACCCUGAAACACCCCACAGACAAAGACUCAAACACCUACACCUGCACCGUCUACAGCAGGGAGGGAAGCAUCCUGAUGAGGAAACAAGUGGUGCUCCAUGUCAGAGUCCUGCAGGUGGAGGUCGAAUCAGGGGUGGAGUCUGUCCAGCUGCCCUGCAAAACUACAGCUCAUCUGCCUGAAAAUUGUAAAGUGGAGUGGAUGGAUGGUGAUGAAGAUGAGGUCCAUGUGUAUCAGAACGGCUCUGACCAGCCUGAACAACAGGACCAGGUUUACAGAGACCGAACGAAGAUGAAUGAAGACCUGCUGAAAACUGGAGACCUCAGUCUGACCCUGAAACACCCCACAGAUGAGACAACAGGACCUACACCUGCACCGUCUACAGCAGGGAGGGAAACAUCCUGCUGAAGAAACAAGUGGAGCUGAAAGUCAGAGUCUGUCAGGUGGAGGUGGAGGAGGGGGUGGAGUCUGUCCAGCUGCCCUUCAAAACCACACAAAACCUGCCUGAAGAUGCUGAGGUGGAGUGGAAGAACGGGUUUUACAGGAAGGUCCACAUAUAUCGGAACGGCUCUGACCAGCCUGAAGAACAGAACCAGGUUUACAGAGACCGAACGAAGAUGAAUGAAGACCUGCUGAAAACUGGAGACCUCAGUCUGACCCUGAAACACCCCACAGAGAGAGACAGUGGAGGAUACAGCUGUGUGGUUAGAAGGAAGGGAAACAUCCACAGAGGCAAAACUGUGCUGCUGAAAAUCAAAGGGAGAGUUCAGGUCCAGGAUCAAACAGGGGACAUCAGGAACAGAAGCAGCUCCAUUGAUCCGACUCCUCUGAUGGCUGAUCAAUCAGUUUGAUCUGUGUGUUCUUUGAUUAUUGA